GUAGUCAUAUGCUUGUCUCAAAGAUUAAGCCAUGCAUGUCUAAGUAUAAGCAAUUAUACAGCGAAACUGCGAAUGGCUCAUUAUAUAAGUUAUCGUUUAUUUGAUAGUACCUUACUACUUGGAUAACCGUGGUAAUUCUAGAGCUAAUACAUGCUAAAAAUCCCGACUUCGGAAGGGAUGUAUUUAUUAGAUUAAAAACCAAUGCCCUCUGGGCUCUUUGGUGAUUCAUGAUAACUUCUCGAAUCGCACGGCCUUGCGCCGGCGAUGGUUCAUUCAAAUUUCUUCCCUAUCAACUUUCGAUGUUUGGGUAUUGGCCAAACAUGGUUGCAACGGGUAACGGAGGGUUAGGGCUCGACCCCGGAGAAGGAGCCUGAGAAACGGCUACUACAUCCAAGGAAGGCAGCAGGCGCGCAAAUUACCCAAUCCCGACACGGGGAGGUAGUGACAAUAAAUACUGAUACAGGGCUCUUUUGGGUCUUGUAAUUGGAAUGAGUACAAUUUAAAUCCCUUAACGAGGAACAAUUGGAGGGCAAGUCUGGUGCCAGCAGCCGCGGUAAUUCCAGCUCCAAUAGCGUAUAUUAAAGUUGUUGUGGUUAAAAAGCUCGUAGUUGAACCUUGGGCCUGGCUGGCCGGUCCGCCUCACCGCGUGUACUGGUCCGGCCGGGCCUUUCCCUCUGUGGAACCUCAUGCCCUUCACUGGGUGUGACGGGGAAACAGGACUUUUACUUUGAAAAAAUUAGAGUGCUCCAGGCAGGCCUAUGCUCGAAUACAUUAGCAUGGAAUAAUAAAAUAGGACGUGUGGUUCUAUUUUGUUGGUUUCUAGGACCGCCGUAAUGAUUAAUAGGGACAGUCGGGGGCAUCAGUAUUCAAUUGUCAGAGGUGAAAUUCUUGGAUUUAUUGAAGACUAACUACUGCGAAAGCAUUUGCCAAGGAUGUUUUCAUUAAUCAGGAACGAAAGUUAGGGGAUCGAAGACGAUCAGAUACCGUCGUAGUCUUAACCAUAAACUAUGCCGACUAGGGAUCGGACGAUGUUAUUUUUUGACGCGUUCGGCACCUUACGAGAAAUCAAAGUGCUUGGGCUCCAGGGGGAGUAUGGUCGCAAGGCUGAAACUUAAAGAAAUUGACGGAAGGGCACCACCAGGGGUGGAGCCUGCGGCUUAAUUUGACUCAACACGGGGAAACUCACCAGGUCCAGACACAAUGAGGAUUGACAGAUUGAGAGCUCUUUCUUGAUUUUGUGGGUGGUGGUGCAUGGCCGUUCUUAGUUGGUGGAGUGAUUUGUCUGCUUAAUUGCGAUAACGAACGAGACCUUAACCUGCUAAAUAGCCCGUAUUGCUUUGGCAGUACGCCGGCUUCUUAGAGGGACUAUCGGCUCAAGCCGAUGGAAGUUUGAGGCAAUAACAGGUCUGUGAUGC
rnacentral:rRNA from 1 species